GUGAGGAAUUUUCCGCAAUGGGCGAAAGCCUGACGGAGCAAUGCCGCGUGAAGGAUGAAGGCCUAUGGGUUGUAAACUUCUUUUCUCAGAAAAGAAUUAUGACGGUAUCUGAGGAAUAAGCAUCGGCUAACUCUGUGCCAGCAGCCGCGGUAAGACAGAGGAUGCAAGCGUUAUCCGGAAUGAUUGGGCGUAAAGCGUCUGUAGGUUGUUUAAAAAGUAUUCUGUCAAAGAUUAGGGCUUAACCCUAGAUAGGCAGAAUAAACUUUUAAGCUAGAGUUUGGUAGAGGCAGAGGAAAUUCCCGGUGGAGAGGUGAAAUGCGUAGAUAUCGGGAGGAACACCAAAGGCGAAGGCACUCUGCUGGGCCAAUACUAACACUGAGAGACGAAAGCGAGGGGAGCAAAUGGGAUUAGAUACCCGAGUAGUCC
rnacentral:rRNA from 1 species